rnacentral:lncRNA from 1 species
CCGCACAGUCCUGGAUUUACAAAAGCUAACGUGAGGGCAGCAAGGACAGUGAUGGUCGAACAAUGUGACGCCCUCCAUUUAAUAACCAACACCAGCACCAACGAGGACAAGCCCCAGACUGGAUGUUAGCGAUGACCCUCAACCACUGUCCGAACGCUGACUCGGCCCAGACGAUGGCAGAGGAUGGGGAGAUGCUCUUGCGCUUAAACUUGUGGCUGUGUGGUGGUGGC